rnacentral:rRNA from 1 species
UCUCUCUGAAUCUGCGAACGGCUCCGCAAACCAGUUGUAAACCCCAGCAAGUCCGCUCGGUCAUCACUCCGGUGGUGCCGGGCACGCUCAAUGGAUAACCGUGGUAAUUCUGAGGCUAAUACAUGACUAGGCACUAUCUCCACGCCACGCUCUCGGGCAGGCGUGGGGGGACGUGUGAACUGCAGGCUUGGCGACAUCAUGACAGAGCACACGUUCGGACCACCGCCAAGGGGCGGCGGAACUGGCCCGCAAGGGACACAGCCGUCCGUCCUGGUGGCUCUUGCGCCGUGCUUCUGACCUAUCAACUAUAUCGCAGCGUAAGGGACAUGCUAUGGUGACAACGGGUACAGAGGAUAAGGGUUCGAUCCUGGAGAGUGGGCCUGAGAGAUU